UACGUAGGGCGCAAGCGUUAUCCGGAUUCACUGGGUUUAAAGGGUGCGUAGGCGGGCAGGUAGGUCCGUGGUGAAAUCUCUGAGCUUAACUCAGAAACUGCCAUGGAUACUAUUUGUCUUGAAUAUUGUGGAGGUAAGCGGAAUAUGUCAUGUAGCGGUGAAAUGCUUAGAUAUGACAUAGAACACCAAUUGCGAAGGCAGCUUACUACACAGUUAUUGACGCUGAGGCACGAAAGCGUGGGGAUCAAACAGG
rnacentral:rRNA from 1 species